ACUCAAAUGAAUAGACGGGGACCCACACAAGCAGUGGAUCAUGUGGUUUAAUUCGACAAUAAACGGGGAACCUUACCCAGGCUUGACAUCCUACGAAUCUGGCGGAAACGUCGGAGUGCCCGCAAGGGAAUGUAGAGACAGGCGCUGCAUGGUUGUCGUCAGCUCGUGCCUUGAGGUGUUCGGUUAAGUCCGUUAACGAGCGCAACCCACGUCAUUAGUUACUAUGUCUAAUGAGACUGCCUGAGUUAAUCAGGAGGAAGGUGUGGAUGACGUCAAAUCAGCAUGGCCCUUAUGCCUGGGGCUACACACAUGAUACAAUGGUCGGUACAAAGAGCAGCAAGCCCGCGAGGGUAAGCAAAUCUCAUAAAGCCGAUCUCAGUCCAGAUUGGAGGCUGCAACUCGCCUCCAUGAAGUUGGAAUUGCUAGUAAUCGUGAAUCAGAUAUGUCACGGUGAAUAUGUUCCUGGGUCUUGCACACACCGCCCGU
rnacentral:rRNA from 1 species